UCCGUAGGUGAACCUGCGGAGGGAUCAUUACACAACAAAAUAUGAAGGCCUGGCUUCGCGGCCGGCUGAAAUAUUUUUUUCACCCAUGUCUUUUGCGCACUUGUUGUUUCCUGGGCGGGUUCGUCCGCUACCAGGACCAAACCAUAAACCUUUUUUUAUGCAGUUGCAAUCAGCGUCAGUAAAAACAAUGUAAUUAUUACAACUUUCAACAACGGAUCUCUUGGUUCUGGCAUCGAUGAAGAACGCAGCGAAAUGCGAUACGUAGUGUGAAUUGCAGAAUUCAGUGAAUCAUCGAAUCUUUGAACGCACAUUGCGCCCUUUGGUAUUCCAAAGGGCAUGCCUGUUCGAGCGUCAUUUGUACCUUCAAGCUUUGCUUGGUGUUGGGCGUUUUUUGUCUCCCUCUUUCUGGGAGACUCGCCUUAAAACGAUUGGCAGCCGGCCUACUGGUUUCGGAGCGCAGCACAUAUUUUGCGCUUUGUAUCAGGAGAAAAGGACGGUAAUCCAUCAAGACUCUACAUUUUUAACUUUUGACCUCGGAUCAGGUAGGGAUACCCGCUGAACUUAAGCAUAUCAAUAAGCGGAGGA
rnacentral:rRNA from 1 species